AAAGAUUUAGGCCCCAUUUGUUUGCACUUAAUGGGGGUCUGAAUCUGAAUGGUUCAGAUUUCAGCCCAUUAAGUGCAUUUUUUUUUUUAAAAAUAGUCUCUUAAUACAUCUGAAAACAUCUGACUCGGUCAGAUUUCAAAAAGAAUCUUAAUGGGAUUCAGACUCUCAAAAAUGCCAAAUUUAAAAAGCUCACACGUCUGUUUUUUUUUUCUCUUUAUAAUUUACGCUUCUCUCUCUCUCUCUCUCUCUCUCUCUCUCUUUAUAAUUUACCCUUCUCUCUUUAUCUCCAAGCAUCAACGAUGCUCUAUCUCCCUCUUUAUUAGUAAGCUAUUCAUCAAAUUCUUUCUUCUUGAACAGGAAGGAGCGCAUCAAUGAUGACUUGUUUAAUCAUUUUGAUACGCCUCAAGUGAUAUUUGAUGAAGAAGGACAACAAGAAGAAGCAUUAGAUGAAACAAAUGGACCUAGUUGGACAGUUGAAGAUUCUCAGAUAAUGACCGAUAUGAGGGAGCAACUUGCACUCCAACUAAUGCAAAGAAGAUGAAAUACUUGAGAGUUCUAUAUUUUAGUUAUUUGAAUUUUUUUCCAAGUGUUGGAGUGUUACAAUUUGAUGAUUGUUAGUUAAUUAUUCAAAUACUCUAAUAUUUAUGUGUCUAAAUCAGAAUUGUAUUUGAGAUAUUGUUUUACUUUGUUGGAUAGGUUUGAUUUAUAGAUUAAUUUAUGUUAAAUUUAAA